GUGUUCGUAGAAAGGAGAGAUGGUUGGCAUCUCCCCCGACAGGGACGGGAACAGCCUUCGGGCUUUACCUGUUAUAUCAGACACAUCCGGUUAAGGCUACCCGCUUCGGCGGAUCUUACCCAAAUUUUUU